GUGGGGAAUAUUGGACAAUGGGCGCAAGCCUGAUCCAGCCAUGCCGCGUGAGUGAUGAAGGCCCUAGGGUUGUAAAGCUCUUUCACCGGUGAAGAUAAUGACGGUAACCGGAGAAGAAGCCCCGGCUAACUUCGUGCCAGCAGCCGCGGUAAUACGAAGGGGGCUAGCGUUGUUCGGAAUUACUGGGCGUAAAGCGCACGUAGGCGGACAUUUAAGGCAGGGGUGAAAUCCCGGGGCUCAACCCCGGAACUGCCUUUGAUACUGGGUGUCUGGAGUAUGGAAGAGGUAAGUGGAAUUCCGAGUGUAGAGGUGAAAUUCGUAGAUAUUCGGAGGAACACCAGUGGCGAAGGCGGCUUACUGGUCCAUUACUGACGCUGAGGUGCGAAAGCGUGGGGAGCAAACAGGAUUAGAAACCCGGGUAGUCC
rnacentral:rRNA from 1 species